rnacentral:tRNA from 1 species
AUUUUUAUAGCUUAAAUUAAAGAGUAUAAUAUUGAAAAUAUUAAGGUGAAUAAUUUUAUU